rnacentral:rRNA from 1 species
ACGGCAGCACAGGAGAGCUUGCUCUCUGGGUGGCGAGUGGCGGACGGGUGAGGAAUACAUCGGAAUCUACUUUUUCGUGGGGGAUAACGUAGGGAAACUUACGCUAAUACCGCACACCACCUACGGGUGAAAGCAGGGGACCUUCGGGCCUUGCGCGAUUGAAUGAGCCGAUUUCGGAUUAGCUAGUUGGCGGGGUAAAGGCCCACCAAGGCGACUAUCCGUAGCUGGUCUGAGAGGAUGAUCAGCCACACUGGGACUGAGACACGGUCCAGACUCCUACGGGAGGCAGCAAUGGGGAAUAUUGGACAAUGGGCGCAAGCCUGAUCCAGCCAUACCGCGUGGGUGAAGAAGGCCUUCGGGUUGUAAAGCCCUUUUGUUGGGAAAGAAAUCCAGCUGGCUAAUACCCGGUUGGGAUGACGGUACCCAAAGAAUAAGCACCGGCUAACUUCGUGCCAGCAGCCGCGGUAAUACUAAAGGUGCAAGCGUUACUCGGAAUUACUGGGCGUAAAGCGUGCGUAGGUGGUCGUUUAAGUCCGUUGUGAAAGCCCUGGGCUCAACCUGGGAACUGCAGUGGAUACUGGGCGACUAGAAUGUGGUAGAGGGUAGCGGAAUUCCUGGUGUAGCAGUGAAAUGCGUAGAGAUCAGGAGGAACAUCCAUGGCGAAGGCAGCUACCUGGACCAACACUGACACUGAGGCACGAAAGCGUGGGGAGCAAACAGGAUUAGAUACCCUGGUAGUCCACGCCAUAACGAUGCGAACUGGAUGUUGGGUGCAAUUUGGCACGCACUAUCGAAGCUAACGCGUUAAGUUCGCCGCCUGGGGAGUACGGUCGCAAGACUGAAACUCGAAGGAGUUGACGGGGGCCCGCACAAGCGGUGGAGUAUGUGGUUUAAUUCGAUGCAACGCGAAAACCUUACCUGGCCUUGACAUGUCGAGAACUUUCCAGAGAUGGAUUGGUGCCUUCGGGAACUC